GACGAACGCUGGCGGCGUGCUUAACACAUGCAAGUCGAACGAUGAACCCGGAGCUUGCUCCGGUGGAUUAGUGGCGAACGGGUGAGUAACACGUGAGUAACCUGCCCUUGACUCUGGGAUAACUGCGGGAAACUGUAGCUAAUACCGGAUACGACCCUCGGCGGCAUCGCCAGGGGGUGGUAAGAAUUUCGGUCAAGGAUGGACUCGCGGCCUAUCAGCUAGCUGGUGAGGUAACGGCUCACCAAGGCGACGACGGGUAGCCGGCCUGCGAGGGGGACCGGCCACACUGGGACUGAGACACGGCCCAGACUCCUACGGGAGGCAGCAGUGGGGAAUAUUGCACAAUGGGCGCAAGCCUGAUGCAGCAACGUCGCGUGAGGGAUGACGGCCUUCGGGUUGUAAACCUCUUUUAGUAGGGAAGAAGCGAAAGUGACGGUACCUGCAGAAAAAGCACCGGCUAACUACGUGCCAGCCGCCGCCGUAA
rnacentral:rRNA from 1 species